rnacentral:rRNA from 1 species
AGCUCCAAUAGCGUAUAUUAAAGUUGUUGCAGUUAAAAAGCUCGUAGUUGGAUUUCGGGAUGGGCCAGUCGGUCUGCCGCAAGGUAUGUUACUGGCUGGUCUGUCCUUCUUCGCAAAGACUGCGUGUGCUCUUAAUUGAGUGUGCGUAGGAUUUGCGACGUUUACUUUGAAAAAAUUAGAGUGUUCAAAGCAGGCUGUCCGCUUGAAUACAUGAGCAUGGAAUAAUGGAAUAGGACUUUGGUUCUAUUUUGUUGGUUUCUGGAACCGAAGUAAUGAUUAAGAGGGACAGUUGGGGGCAUUCGUAUUUCGUUGUCAGAGGUGAAAUUCUUGGAUUUACGAAAGACGAACAACUGCGAAAGCAUUUGCCAAGAAUGUUUUCAUUA